rnacentral:rRNA from 1 species
GAUGAACGCUAGCGACAGGCCUAACACAUGCAAGUCGAGGGGCAGCACAUGAGUAGCAAUACGAUGGUGGCGACCGGCGCACGGGUGAGUAACACGUAUGCAACCUGCCUUCUACUAUGGGAUAACCCGUUGAAAGACGGACUAAUACCGUAUAAUACAGGGGCUCCGCAUGGAGAUAUUUGUUAAAGAUUUAUUGGUAGAAGAUGGGCAUGCGUAUGAUUAGAUAGUUGGUGAGGUAACGGCUCACCAAGUCAACGAUCAUUAGGGGUUCUGAGAGGAAGGUCCCCCACACUGGUACUGAGACACGGACCAGACUCCUACGGGAGGCAGCAGUGAGGAAUAUUGGUCAAUGGACGAGAGUCUGAACCAGCCAAGUCGCGUGAAGGAAGACGGUUCUAUGAAUUGUAAACUUCUUUUGUGCAGGAAUAAAGUGGGUUACGUGUAACCUUUUGUAUGUACUGUACGAAUAAGGAUCGGCUAACUCCGUGCCAGCAGCCGCCGCAGUAA